UAGUGGUUAUGCUAUCAUCACAUCUGUAUUAAAUUUGCUUUCUUGUUGAUGUUGGGGUCGAACAAAUUUCAUUUGUACGAUUUCGAAAAUCAAUAAUGUAUAAAUCAGUUUAUAGACAUUCAGUCAAAAAUAUUUUUCCAGAAUAUACCGAAAUAUAGGAAUAUAUGGAUAGCAAGAUAAUUAAUAAGAAGACAGAAUAAUCUCAUUUAAACAUUUAUAUAUCAAUCGAUGAAACAACGGAUAUUUUGAAAUCUGUUGCCUAUCGUGAUUAGGGUUUUGGAUAUGCAGUUUAAAAUACUCCAAAAUUCAAUUAUUUGGAACUUAAGAGCAUAGUGUAGCUACUCCUGAAACGAAUGUUCACAACUUCAAACAGAAACGAGUAAACGGGGUGUCUGAGGUGAAUAGCUUCAUUGGAAACUUAUCAGAUGUGGUACAUCAACGGACUGCCAUAUCAAGGAACUGUCAUAGAAAUGAGAACGAUUGGUUUAUGUAUUUUACAAGUUUGACGUAGAAAGUAGGAAAAAGAUCUAGGAGAAAACGACGGGGAAUCACCACCUUUAGGACACAGUUGACCGAAAUCACACUACAACUACGUCUACUUUUCAUAUAACACAAUUUUAAACUUCAUCUGAUUCUUUCACUUCGCAAAAUAUAACUCAAGCACCAAUGAAGACUUUGGACAACUGUGCGCAAACAGUGUCUUCAUGGAUUGGCGCCUCUCAUGCAAAAAUUAUCGAAAUCAGACUCUCACGUUUUAAGGCCCAUAUACCGGUUGUAAGGACUUCAGCAACUUAAGUUGACUAUAUAUCAAAAAUAUCAGUCAAUAUCUGAGAUAUCUCAAUGAAAUUCAGAGAGAAUCUUGUCCUGAUAAUAGUGUGCUAUGGUGCCAAAAUGAAUAACAUAAGGUUGAUACUUCCUAAAGCCCCCAUAUACAGUCCAUUUGUUUUCCAAAGUGAAAAAUUUUGUAAUUAUAGAAAAUAAAUUGUUUGUUAUAGCUGACAUUUAUUCAAUACUUACUCCAAUC